rnacentral:rRNA from 1 species
AUUGAACGCUGGCGGCAUGCCCUACACAUGCAAGUCGAACGGCAGCACGGGAGCAAUCCUGGUGGCGAGUGGCGAACGGGUGAGUAAUAUAUCGGAACGUGCCCAGUAGUGGGGGAUAACUGCUCGAAAGAGCAGCUAAUACCGCAUACGACCUGAGGGUGAAAGGGGGGGAUCGCAAGACCUCUCGCUAUUGGAGCGGCCGAUAUCAGAUUAGCUAGUUGGUGGGGUAAAGGCCUACCAAGGCAACGAUCUGUAGUUGGUCUGAGAGGACGACCAGCCACACUGGGACGGAGACAGCGCCCAGACUCCUACGGGAGGCAGCAGUGGGGAAUUUUGGACAAAGGGCGCAAGCCUGAUCCAGCAAUGCCGCGUGCAGGAAGAAGGCCUUCGGGUUGUAAACUGCUUUUGUACGGAACGAAACGGCCCUUUCUAAUACGGGGGGCUAAUGACGGUACCGUAAGAAUAAGCACCGGCUAACUACGUGCCAGCCGCCGCGGUAAGAC